AUUGAACGCUGGCGGCAUGCCUUACACAUGCAAGUCGAACGGUAACAGGUCUUCGGAUGCUGACGAGUGGCGAACGGGUGAGUAAUACAUCGGAACGUGCCUAGUAGUGGGGGAUAACUACUCGAAAGAGGGGCUAAUACCGCAUGAGAUCUACGGAUGAAAGCAGGGGAUCGCAAGACCUUGUGCUACUAGAGCGGCCGAUGGCAGAUUAGGUAGUUGGUGGGAUAAAAGCUUACCAAGCCGACGAUCUGUAGCUGGUAUGAGAGGACGAUCAGCCACACUGGGACUGAGCGACGCGCCAGACGCCUACGGGAGGCAGCAGUGGGGAAUUUUGGACAAUGGGCGAAAGCCUGAUCCAGCAAUGCCGCGUGCAGGAUGAAAGCCUUCGGGUUGUAAACUGCUUUUGUACGGAACGAAAAGCCCCGGGUUAAUACCCUGGGGUCAUGACGGUACCGUAAGAAUAAGCACCGGCUAACUACGUGCCAGCCGCCGCAGUAA
rnacentral:rRNA from 1 species